rnacentral:lncRNA from 1 species
CAUCUCUCCCUGAAUCUGCUAGAGUGCCCCGAAAGAUUUGCAGUUUUCUGAGACAGUUUCCCAGGCUCUGAAAAUCUAUAGGAUAAUUUAAAAAUACUUCCUGGCUUUCAGUUCCUCAGAUAAGGUCAUUUUGUAGAGAUUAAAUGUAGUCACUGGCUGAGAGUUUCUUUUGUUGUCAUAUAAGCAGAAACCUAUUAAAGAAAAAGUACUUUUUUGGGGUAAAUUGUAAUGUGAUUUGAUAAACUGGAAGUUUAUCAUCAUCCUAUCAUUUUUAUUUCUCAUGAUGGUUUUUUGGUUUUAGUUAUCAAUCAUCACAACUCACUUAUAUUUAGAAAAUACUGAUGACUUUCU